rnacentral:rRNA from 1 species
AGCGAACGCUGGCGGCAGGCUUAACACAUGCAAGUCGAGCGGGCAUAGCAAUAUGUCAGCGGCAGACGGGUGAGUAACGCGUGGGAACGUACCUUUUGGUUCGGAACAACUGAGGGAAACUUCAGCUAAUACCGGAUAAGCCCUUACGGGGAAAGAUUUAUCGCCGAAAGAUCGGCCCGCGUCUGAUUAGCUAGUUGGUGAGGUAAUGGCUCACCAAGGCGACGAUCAGUAGCUGGUCUGAGAGGAUGAUCAGCCACAUUGGGACUGAGACACGGCCCAAACCCCUGCGGGGGGCAGCAGGGGGGAAUAUUGGACAAUGGGCGAAAGCCUGAUCCAGCCAUGCCGCGUGAGAGAUGAGGGCCCUAGGGUUGUAAAGCUCUUUUGUGCGGGAAGAUAAGGACGGUACCGCAAGAAUAAGCCCCGGCUAACUUCG